rnacentral:rRNA from 1 species
AGAGUUUGAUCAUGGCUCAGGAUGAACGCUAGCGACAGGCUUAACACAUGCAAGUCGAGGGGCAGCGGGGGUAGCGAUACCCGCCGGCGACCGGCGCACGGGUGAGUAACGCGUAUGCAACUUGCCUAUCAGAGGGGGGAUAACCCGGCGAAAGUCGGACUAAUACCGCAUGAAGCAGGGGCCCCGCAUGGGAAUAUUUGCUAAAGAUUCAUCGCUGAUAGAUAGGCAUGCGUUCCAUUAGGCAGUUGGCGGGGUAACGGCCCACCGAAACCGACGAUGGAUAGGGGUUCUGAGAGGAAGGUCCCCCACAUUGGUACUGAGACACGGACCAAACUCCUACGGGAGGCA